rnacentral:sRNA from 1 species
AUUCCCUACGGUCAACCUCAGGUCCGCCGCAACUCCUGGGUCCGUAGGGAGGCUGGUCCGGCAAGGCUAGAGUGGCCUCUUCGACACGCCGAGCCGGACCAGCCACUCC